ACUCAAAUGAAUUGACGGGGACCCGCACAAGCAGAGGAGCAUGUGGUUUAAUUCGACGAUAAGCGAAGAACCUUACCUAGGUUUGACAUGUAGCUGCAAGCUCCAAGAAACUGGAGCCGCCUUCGAGGGUGCUACACAGGUGCUGCAUGGUUGCCGUCAGCUCGUGUCGUGAGAUGUACCGUUAAGUCGGGUAACGAGCGCAACCCCUGUCCCAUGUUGUUUUUUCAUGGGAGACCGCCUCGGAUAACGGGGAGGAAGGUGGGGAUGACGUCAAAUCAGCAUGGCUCUUACAUCUAGGGCUACACACGUGCUACAAUCGCGUUGACAAAGGGUUGCCAAACCGCAAGGUGGAGCUAAUCCCAUCAAACAACGCGCCAGUUCGGAUUGGGGGCUGAAAUUCGCCCCCAUGAAGCCGGAUUUGCUAGUAACGGCGGAUCAGCCACGCCGCCGUGAAUACGUUCUCGGGUCUUGUACACACCGCCCGU
rnacentral:rRNA from 1 species